rnacentral:rRNA from 1 species
GGGCAGUGGCGCGUGCCUAUACAUGCAGUCGAACGCUUCUUUUCCAUCGGAGCUUGCUCCACCGGGAAAAGAGGAGUGGCGAACGGGUGAGUAACACGUGGGUAACCUGCCCAUCAGAAGGGGAUAACACUUGGAAACAGGUGCUAAUACCGUAUAACAAUCGAAACCGCAUGGUUUCGUUUUGAAAGGCGCUUUACGGUGCCGCUGAUGGAUGGACCCGCGGUGCAUUAGCUAGUUGGUGAGGUAACGGCUCACCAAGGCCACGAUGCAUAGCCGACCUGAGAGGGUGAUCGGCCACAUUGGGACUGAGACACGGCCCAAACUCCUACGGGAGGCAGCAGUAGGGAAUCUUCGGCAAUGGACGAAAGUCUGACCGAGCAACGCCGCGUGAGUGAAGAAGGUUUUCGGAUCGUAAAACUCUGUUGUUAGAGAAGAACAAGGGUGAGAGUAACUGUUCACCCCUUGACGGUAUCUAACCAGAAAGCCACGGCUAACUACGUGCCAGCAGCCGCGGUAAUACGUAGGUGGCAAGCGUUGUCCGGAUUUAUUGGGCGUAAAGCGAGCGCAGGCGGUUUCUUAAGUCUGAUGUGAAAGCCCCCGGCUCAACCGGGGAGGGUCAUUGGAAACUGGGAGACUUGAGUGCAGAAGAGGAGAGUGGAAUUCCAUGUGUAGCGGUGAAAUGCGUAGAUAUAUGGAGGAACACCAGUGGCGAAGGCGGCUCUCUGGUCUGUAACUGACGCUGAGGCUCGAAAGCGUGGGGAGCAAACAGGAUUAGAUACCCUGGUAGUCCACGCCGUAAACGAUGAGUGCUAAGUGUUGGGAGGGUUUCCGCCCUUCAGUGCUGCAGCUAACGCAUUAAGCACUCCGCCUGGGGGAGUACGACCGCAAGGUUGAAACUCAAAGGAAUUGACGGGGGCCCGCACAAGCGGUGGAACCAUGGUGGUUUAAUUCGAAGCAACGCGAAGAACCUUACCAGGUCUUGACAUCCUUUGACACUCUA